GACGAACGCUGGCGGCGUGCUUAACACAUGCAAGUCGAACGAAGUCGCGCACGGGUGAGUAACGCGGAAUCAAUCUGCUCUUCAGAGGGGGACAACAGUUGGAAACGACUGCUAAUACCGCAUACAGAAGGAGGGUAUUGCGUUUGUUUCGCUAGUUGGAGGGGUAACGGCCCACCAAGGCGAUGAUCAGUAGGCGGUCUGGGAGGAUGAACGGCCAGAUUGGGACGGGGACACGGCCCAGACUCCUACGGGAGGCAGCAGUGGGGAAACUGCCGCAAUGGACGAAAGUCUGACGGAGCAACGCCGCGGGAGUGAUGACGGCCGUCGGGUUGUAAAGCUCUGUUAAUCGGGACGCGGUACCGGAAUAGAAAGCCACGGCUAACUACGUGCCAGCAGCCGCGGUAAUAC
rnacentral:rRNA from 1 species